ACGUCCAUCACAAAUUUGGUCCAGAUUUUUCUGUGACGAACCACCCCUGUCUAAUGCAUUUUCCAAUGUCUUCUUAACUUUCUUGAUCUCUUGUUUAAAAUCAUGUGAAGCUUUCCCACUCAUUAAACAUCUAAUCUUUCUCAGCAACCUCUUCACGUGUAACCGAUUUUUUGUCGUGUAAAUUAACCCCAAUUUUCCAAUCAUCCACCACUAAUGUUCCGGUUUGUGAAUUGAUCGGGCAACAAUGGAUAACAAAUCAUUGAAACAUUAGGACAUAUAUAAGCUCUCCACAGUGUGUUAAGAAGAACCCUCCAGUUGCUGGAUCCGAAAGCACAGCAACUUGGGAGCACCACGGCAUGAUUAUGCCACGACAUUUUAUUUAGUAGUCAUAUCCGGCAGGGUGCUGUCGACUACAUUCCGCAAGGCAUGUUUCUACCAUAAUUUCCGUGAAGCAAACAAAUGUGCUGACAUGCUGGCUACAUGGGGAGGAAGCACAGAUAUUCAAUUCCUAAUUUUUGAUCAUUGUCCUGUUUUUGUUCUCCCAUUACUUUUGGAUGAUCUAAGAGGUGUUACGACACCAAGAAUGACUGUAUUAAACUAAUCUCAUGUUGUAGACUGCUUUAUUUUCCUUGAAUGUAUCUUCAAUUACCAAAAAGAAAAAACAAACAAACAAAACCGAGCCUUCGGGUUUUGUAUCAAGCCAUGGGCCACAAUUCGACUCGGACCACCUGCUCGUGGGAACCGAACUUCUGGUCAAACCAGAGGGCAAAAUUGGUCCGAUGGAAUGGAAAGGUUGCUUUUAUUGAAGAGCUGAGAUUGUUUGUGGUUCGAGUUAAUCUGUAGUGUUGAAAAUUUACAAAAUCUGCCUUUCUUACAUUCUUGAAUGCUUUGGCUAUUAUAAGAAAGGAGCCAUUGCGAUUGGAGUUCCAAGCAACCUAGUCCAAUUGUCGUACUUUUUACAUUAUGUAAUGUGAACUACAUUAUAUUAUUGUACUUGUGAAAAAGUGAUGUAUCUAUCUUGUAUAUAAAAAGAAACAAAGCUUACUGUAACAAUCCCUCUUUUUGCCA